GUAUCGAGUUUCUGAAUGUAGAUAAAUGGUUAAAUUUCUUCAAGCCAUAUACGUACCUAGUGGCAUGGUUAAAUGUAACAUCGAGUUUGUGGAGGGAAUGAGAGUCUAGUUUGCUGUACACUAUUUCGAAAUUCGUAAUUUGAGGAACAAUAAAGCUUGAGACCAGCUUUUUUUCGUGUCUGAGGGUACGAAACACUUUUCGAGGCAACACUCUGAGGCAGCGCAAGGUGUAAUAAAUUUUUCCCACAACUUCAUUGAUGUGGUAUUCACAAGUCACCUUGGAAUUUAUAGUAAAACCCAACCAAUUGAAGCUUUGCAGCUCCAAUAUAAAGGCAGAGGAGGUUUUCAGCAGACCAUUCAAGAAUCGAGCACAAGCCCUCAUUAAGCUUACGAGUUAUAUCCUGAACCAUGCUGAUAUGGUUAGAGAUAUAUAAUUGAACAUCGUCAGCGUAAGCGUGUAGACGAACAUGGGAGCAGGAGUUGAAAAUAUCAUUUAUAAAAAUACUGAAGAGCAGGGGACCUAGAACGGAGCCCUGUGGUACUCCGCAAGAUGUUCCCACCAAUCCUGAAAAUGUGUUGCCGACUUUAACUUUCUGCAUUCUGUUACUUAAAUAACUGUUAAGAAGUUUUACUGCAUUUACAUCAAAUCCAAAAUAGUCAGUUAAUUUGCCACACAGUAGGCUGUGGUUGACAGUGUCAAACGCCUUGGAGAAAUCAAGGAGGCAUAAAGGUGUUAGGUAGCCUUGAUCAAACUCUUGACGCAUAUCGUCCAGUACUUUUGUGAUGGCAGUCGAGCAAGAGCGAGCAGCUCUAAAGCCUGAUUGACAAAGGCUGAGUAGGUUAUUAUUCUCGAACUCGGAUAUUAGUUACGCCAUAAGCAUCUCGAAAACUUUCGACAAUCCGGUCAGUAUGCUUAUGGGUCUAAAAUCAGCAGGAACGGAAGCACCAAGUUUCUUAGCUAGACGGGUAAUGAUUGCUACUUUCCAUCUGGAGGGGAAAGUGGAGGUAGUGAAGCAGUGGUUUACCAGAUGGGUGAGAGAACUUAUAAUAUUUGGUAAAAUUAAUUUUAUAAAUUUAAUUGGGAUGCCGUCGGUGUCAAUGGCGCUGGAUUUUAUGCGGUAAACGCACUUAGCUACUUCAGUUUCAGCUGAAAUUUCCUUGAGGGCGAUGAUCUGGAAGAGGUUGUGAGCUAUUAUGUACUACGGAAGAAUUGGAUGAAUCAAAAAAUGUGUUAAGGAGAUUAGGUUCGAGAAAACAAGAAGCUUCAGAGCAUGGCCGUACGCCUAACCUUUUCAAAUAAGACCAUAACUGUUUAGGGGGCAAAUCAGUGUUGAUUUUGCCACAGUAGUAUUUCUUUUUAGCGAGGUGAACAGAAAAGGAAGCAUUAUUCCGAGCUCGCUUAUAAGCAUUCCAAUUGUCAAUAUUUGGCCUUCUUUUCCAAACAUUGUGUGCGAUGUUCCGGUUUUUAAUGGCCGCUUUGACUGCGCGGGAGAGCCAAGGACAGGAACGCGGUGCAGGAGUAAGCUUGCGAAGUGGCACGUGCUUAUUUAAAAAAUAGAGUAUGCUUUGAGUUAAGAAGUUUAAUUUGUCAUCAACCGUGACUAAUUGCCAACAAUAGUCCCAGGAAAAUUGGUUCAAGUCCGAAAAUAAUCUGUCCAAUUUAACUGCAUUGUAGUCACGGUAAGAAAAAGCCGUAAUAGGAAAAACAUUUUGACACAAUUUGGACUUAAAUGUACAAAAAAUUAAAUCAUGAUGGAGACAAAGGACAACUGAUCAAAUAGAACGACGGACGUGGUAGGGGGAGCAAUAAAUAUAUCUAACAAACUCGGACGCGCAUUACAAGAAAACCUAAUGCAAAUCAAAACAGCAACAAACACAGCAUAUGCAAUACAGGCAACGGCAAAGUGGCGUGACCCAGCUGCGUAAACAAACAUGCGUGGAAAACGAAUGCAUAAAAACCCACCAAACACAACAGCG